GAUGAACGCUGGCGGCGUGCCUAAUACAUGCAAGUCGAGCGAAGCGGGGACGGGUGAGUAACACGUGGGUAACCUCCUAUAAGACUGGGAUAACUUCGGGAAACAGGAGCUAAACCGGAUACUGAUAGAUGGACCCGCGCCGUAUUCGCUAGUUGGUAAGGUAACGGCUUACAAAGGAGACGAUAUGUAGCCGACCUGAGAGGGGGAUCGGCAACACUGGAACGUAGACACGGUCCAUACUCCUACGGUAGGCAGCAGUAGGGAAUCUUCCGCAAGUGGCGAAAGCCUUACGGAGCAACGCCGCGUUAGUGAUUAAGGUUUUCGGAUCGUAAAACUCUGUUAUGAGGGAAGCGGUACCUAAUCAGAAAGCCACGGCUAACGACGUGCCAGCAGCCGCGGUAAUUC
rnacentral:rRNA from 1 species